GCUUACGGCCAUACCACUCUGACAAAGCCUGAUCUCAUCUGACCUCGGAAGCAAAGCAGAGCUGGGCCUGGUUAGUACUUGGUUGGGAGACUGAAUGGGAAUACUAGGUGCUGUAAGCU
ensembl:rRNA 5S_rRNA 5S ribosomal RNA